UGGCUCAGGACAAACGCUGGCGGGGUGCGUGAGACAUGCAAGUCGAACGGGGUUGCACGGGCUUGCUCGAGCAACCUAGUGGCGGACGGCUGAGUAACGCGUAGGUGACCUGCCCGGAAGUGGGGAAUAACUGCCCGAAAGGGUGGCUAAUACCGCAUGUGGCCGGCGAUGCAUUUCGCCGUCUAAAGCCGUAAGGCGCUUCCGGAGGGGCCUGCNUCCGAUUAGCUAGUUGGUGAGGUAACGGCUCACCAAGGCUUUGACGGGUAGCUGGUCUGAGAGGACGACCAGCCACACUGGGACUGAGACACGGCCCAGACACCUACGGGUGGCAGCAGUCGAGAAUUUUUCUCAAUGGGGGAAACCCUGAAGGAGCGACGCCGCGUGGAGGAUGAAGGUCUUCGGGUUGUAAACUCCUGUCAUUUGGGAACAAGUGUCGGUACGUAACUGCUACCGGCUUGAUAGUACCAGAAGAGGAAGAGACGGCUAACUCUGUGCCAGCAGCCGCGGUAAUACAGAGGUCUC
rnacentral:rRNA from 1 species